AUUGAACGCUGGCGGCAUGCCUUGCACAUGCAAGUCGAACGGCAGCAUGGAGAGCUUGCUCUCUGAUGGCGAGUGGCGAACGGGUGAGUAAUGCAUCGGAACGUACCGUGUAAUGGGGGAUAACGUAGCGAAAGUUACGCUAAUACCGCAUACGACCUGAGGGUGAAAGCAGGGGAUCGCAAGACCUUGCGUUAUACGAGCGGCCGAUGUCAGAUUAGCUAGUUGGUGAGGUAAAGGCUCACCAAGGCGACGAUCUGUAGCGGGUCUGAGAGGAUGAGCCGCCACACUGGGACUGAGACACGGCCCAGACUCCUACGGGAGGCAGCAGUGGGGAAUUUUGGACAAUGGGGGCAACCCUGAUCCAGCCAUGCCGCGUGAGUGAAGAAGGCCUUCGGGUUGUAAAGCUCUUUCGGCCGGGAAGAAAUCGCACAGGCUAAUACUCUGUGUGGAUGACGGUACCGGCAUAAGAAGCACCGGCUAACUACGUGCCAGCCGCCGCCGUAAGAC
rnacentral:rRNA from 1 species